rnacentral:tRNA from 1 species
AUUAUUUUGGCAGAAAAGUGUAAUAAAUUUAGAAUUUAUGAAUGUAAAUCCUUACAAAUAAUA